GCAAAAUUAAAAAAAAAAAAAAAAACUAGCCAACUUUUAACACAUCCGGACCAAAAUACCCUUCAUUAUCUUUUUUUUUUUCUUUUUUCUUUACCAAUACGCAGCUGGUUUGUUUUUCUUGUUUUUGGUUUUUUUCUUGACUUUCCCUUUCCCUUUCCUUUUCAAAACACAGUUAGGCUAAGGCUCAUCGCAAGUCAUUUUUAAGCUAGUGUGUUCCCAUUCAAUUCUUCUGCAAGAAUUAUGGGAUUCAUUGGGGUUUUGGUUUUGAAGAAGAUGGGUUUUCGAUUGGGACUAUGUGCUCCAAGAGCUUGGAUUUAGCUCUGCCAAAAAAAAAAAAAAAAAAAAAAAGAAGAAGAUAACACAGAAAAAAAAGGGUCUUUUUACUUACUAGGUUCUUAUAAAGAAAGGAGUAUGCUCAUGAGGUUUUACAACAAAGAACUAAGUAUAUGAGUUAGGUGGUUGAUUCAUGAACAACAUAAUAUCAUUUUUACUUCUUUGUUUUUGUUACUUUCAUUAUGUUUAUAAAUGCAUCUUUUUUCGUAUAUUAGCAUUUUAAAUGUAGAGAUAAUGAUGGAUUUUGAUGUUCAUUUAACGAAGAUAAUUAUGGAUUUUGAUGUAAUGAUAUCUAAUUAACCGUCUACAAAAUGUGGCAUGUUUAUUAGAAUUCCAUUUUCCACAAACCCCUUAUAUGCAAGUCAAUUCAAGCUUCUAGAUAAUUUUUCGCCUGUCGGAAAAUUUUUCCUCCAAGCGGGAA